rnacentral:rRNA from 1 species
AUGGGAAGAGUCAAUCCAGCAGGUGCUGGUGGGGGUGGUGACAGAACCUGGAAGACCUCCUGGACGGAGGUGGUGGGGUGGCCGGUGCAAAACGCGGUUGUACGGAUCAAAGGCGACAGGCCCCAUGUCUCGUUCAUUGCCGGCGGUACAGGCGGCCAAUGGCCGCCGGGCCAUAACCCCUCACGCGUCGUCGUCCUCUCCAAUGAUGCUGGCGUCGUUGUGAAGACCCCACCGUCGGCUAGCUCAACCUCUCUCAACUGGCAGGGCUGCUUACUAGCUCCAUGCACAACGUUGUUGUGUUGUACUUGUGCCCACUAG